rnacentral:misc_RNA from 1 species
ACUUGUAUUCUUUCUUCUAACAUACAGGGUUUUGCAAAAAAAAUGAAGUUUUCAAUGAACUCUCCUCUCAGCCCAUUGGCAAUACACCAGUACAGUCGGCUCGUCUUCUUUCUUCUUCAAAUUCUUUUUCUGCUUCGCUUUACUAAGCAAUGAAUUAAUUAUGCAUCGGCGAUGGAUCCAUCGCUAUAAUAAUAUGUACGGGCGGAGUUCAAAUCUGUCACUGGAAUUUUUCUUUUUUUCUUUUAAAUGAAUUGAGUAGCAGUGGUCACACAUUCAUUAGAGUAGCAGUUUGAGUGAAUCAACUGUAUUAAGUUUUGUUCCUUCUCACAUUGAUCCCUUUCAUCUAAUAACUAUAAUUGUCGCCAUCGAUCUCAAAUAAAAGUUAUAGCUGUGAGGAAGUUAGGGAUCCUUCUCAUUAUUUACCUAAUUUUUUUUUCACUUAAGC